AUUUAAGAUCUAGAAGUUGGUUUAUUUAUGCAUAAACAUUUCAAUUAACUCAGUUUCAUUUGUAUGUUUGUGAUGUUUAUGCUGUCUUGAUUCUGUCUUCCUCCUUUUCACGCUGUCUCAAAGGAGAAAAGUAAUAAGGAGAUCACGAGGGAGAUUCAAGCUAUAAUGAGACAAGUUGCUUCCAGCAUAACUUGCUUGCCUUGUCUCCAUGAAACAUGUAAGAGAGAGAGACAUUAAUCGGCUUGGCGGUUGGAUAAGGUGUGUUUGUUGUGUUGGGAGCAUUUACUGAUACCGAUGUGGCUGUACCGUUCACCUGGAUCAAGAGAGUGAUUGACAAGGUCGAACACACUCAUUUCAUACAAGAACAAUAAAAGGGAUGAAGAAUGACUCUGAUACCACACACAAACACUCGCUCGUCUGAUUGUGAACAAUUUAUUCACUUCUCUUAUGUUCUGUUCUUACAAAUGUAACAGACCAAAAAUCUAUUUUGAGGUCUUCUUGGUCUGUACGGUAAAUGCCAGUUAUGAUAUUUCAUAUUUGAGCAAGUACAUGAAAAAAAGAAGAAAUGUAUAAAGAGAAUGAGAUCAUAUCU